UACGGAGGGUGCAAGCGUUAAUCGGAAUUACUGGGCGUAAAGGGUGCGUAGGUGGUUUAUUAAGUUAUCUGUGAAAUCCCUGGGCUCAACCUGGGCAGGUCAGAUAAGACUGAUAGACUCGAGUAUAGGAGAGGGUAGUGGAAUUUCCGGUGUAGCGGUGAAAUGCGUAGAGAUCGGAAGGAACACCAGUGGCGAAGGCGGCUACCUGGCCUAAUACUGACACUGAGGCACGAAAGCGUGGGGAGCAAACAGGAUUAGAAACCCUCGUAGUCC
rnacentral:rRNA from 1 species